UGGGGGAUAUUGCACAAUGGGCGAAAGCCUGAUGCAGCGACGCCGCGUGGGGGAUCAAGGCUUUCGGGUUGUAAACCUCUUUCGCUAUCGAACAAGGCCCGCUUAGGGUGGGUUGAGGGUAGGUGGAGAAGAAGCGCCGGCUAACUACGUGCCAGCAGCCGCGGUAAUACGUAGGGCGCGAGCGUUGUCCGGAAUUAUUGGGCGUAAAGGGCUUGUAGGCGGCUUGUUGCGCCUGCUGUGAAAACGCGGGGCUUAACUUCGCGCGUGCAGUGGGUACGGGCAGGCUUGAGUGUGGUAGGGGUGACUGGAAUUCCAGGUGUAGCGGUGGAAUGCGCAGAUAUCUGGAGGAACACCGAUGGCGAAGGCAGGUCACUGGGCCAUUACUGACGCUGAGGAGCGAAAGCAUGGGUAGCGAACAGG
rnacentral:rRNA from 1 species